GCUGACGUAGUUCAACUGGUAGAACAUUUGAUUAUGAAAAAUGCACUUAGAAUUAAAAACAUCUUUUCUUUCGUACCAUAAGUGCUAACAGCAAUAACAAAGCCACUCAAACAGUUGUUGGUUCGAGUCCAACCGUCAGCA
rnacentral:tRNA from 1 species